ACCAAAACGCCGAGGAGGAUCCUGAGAUCCGCAUCAAUGCCUACCUGGCCCUGAUGAGGUGCCCGGGAGAGGAGGUGUUUGCCCAGGUGCGGCGUACCCAGGCCAGAGAGCAGUCCACCCAGGUGGGCUCCUUUGUGUGGAGUCACCUCCUGCAGCUGUUGGAGACGGACGACCCCUUGAAACAGAGCCUCCGGGAAGCUGUCCCUCAAGACAUUCUUAGCCGGGAGUUCCAUCCAGAGGUGUGGAAACACUCGUCCUACUCUGACGUCACCUUCCGCUCAGCAUCAGGCAGCCUGGGAGCCAACCUGGAGGGGACCCUUCUCUUCUCUCCAGCCUCCUUCCUCCCCCGUUCUGCCACAGCCAACCUGACCAUCCAUGCUCUUGGUCAUGCCUUCAACCUCCUGGAGUUGGGGCUCCGUCUGGAAAAUGCUGAGGAAAUGGCCCGCAGGCUGUUUGGCCCCAAGUCAUUCUGGGGGCAGGAAGAGGAGAGACAAGCCCAGGCGAAGGAGCCCCCAGAGGCAGAGCCAGGGCCCACACUGCAGCCGGCCGACCCCGCCUGUACAGGAGAAAGGUCCAGAAAGAUGAGAGACUUGCAGCAGAAGGUGGCCCGGAGGCGCGGGGAGCGGCAGGCGCUGAAGUGUCAGCUGAGCAUGAAGGUGUUCGGGCAUGAGUUGAGCUUUGUCAACUGUGGGGCGAUGGGGAGCCACGUGACGCACCAGUCCCUGAACCUGGCUGAGCUUGCCAUAAAACUCCUGAAGGGCCAGGAGGUUCAGGUGAACCGGAGGCUGAACCUGGUGAUGGAGGAGCUCACCUUUCCCACCAUGUCCGGCCUCCCAGCCCGGUUGACCCUCAAUGUCUCAGCUGCCGUCAGCAUCCGGGUCCGAGGGACAGCCGACUUCCAGCAGCGCUCAGAUUUCUCUGUGAAAGGUUACGUCAAGCCCAGCGCGCUGCUCCAGAUCUCGGCGCAGAUGGGCACGGUGGGUGCCCUGGGGCAGGCCGGGCUGAGGUGGGUGACUGGUGUCCGCGGC
rnacentral:lncRNA from 1 species